ACGAACGCUGGCGGCACGCUUAACACAUGCAAGUCGAACGAGAGAAGAGAAGCUUGCUUUUCUGAUCUAGUGGCGGACGGGUGAGUAACACGUGAGCAAUCUGCCUUUCAGAGGGGGAUACCGAUUGGAAACGAUCGUUAAUACCGCAUAACAUAAUUGAACCGCAUGAUUUGAUUAUCAAAGAUUUAUCGCUGAAAGAUGAGCUCGCGUCUGAUUAGCUAGUUGGUAAGGUAACGGCUUACCAAGGCGACGAUCAGUAGCCGGACUGAGAGGUUGAUCGGCCACAUUGGGACUGAGACACGGCCCAGACUCCUACGGGAGGCAGCAGUGGGGAAUAUUGCACAAUGGAGGAAACUCUGAUGCAGCGAUGCCGCGUGAGGGAAGAAGGUUUUAGGAUUGUAAACCUCUGUCUUCAGGGACGAAAAAAGACGGUACCUGAGGAGGAAGCUCCGGCUAACUACGUGCCAGCAGCCGCGGUAAUACGUAGGGAGCGAGCGUUGUCCGGAAUUACUGGGUGUAAAGGGAGCGUAGGCGGGAUCGCAAGUCAGAUGUGAAAACUAUGGGCUUAACCCAUAAACUGCAUUUGAAACUGUGGUUCUUGAGUGAAGUAGAGGUAAGCGGAAUUCCUAGUGUAGCGGUGAAAUGCGUAGAUAUUAGGAGGAACAUCAGUGGCGAAGGCGGCUUACUGGGCUUUAACUGACGCUGAGGCUCGAAAGCGUGGGGAGCAAACAGGAUUAGAUACCCUGGUAGUCCACGCCGUAAACGAUGAUUACUAGGUGUGGGGGGACUGACCCCUUCCGUGCCGCAGCAAACGCAAUAAGUAAUCCACCUGGGGAGUACGACCGCAAGGUUGAAACUCAAAGGAAUUGACGGGGGCCCGCACAAGCAGUGGAGUAUGUGGAUUAAUUCGAAGCAACGCGAAGAACCUUACCAGGUCUUGACAUCGUAUGCAUAGCUCAGAGAUGAGUGAAAUCUCUUCGGAGACAAAUAGACAGGUGGUGCAUGGUUGUCGUCAGCUCGUGUCGUGAGAUGUUGGGUUAAGUCCCGCAACGAGCGCAACCCUUACUGUUAGUUGCUACGCAAGAGCACUCUAGCAGGACUGCCGUUGACAAAACGGAGGAAGGUGGGGAUGACGUCAAAUCAUCAUGCCCCUUAUGACCUGGGCCUCACACGUACUACAAUGGCUGUCAACAGAGGGAAGCAAAGCCGCGAGGUGGAGCAAACCCCUAAAAGCAGUCUUAGUUCGGAUUGUAGGCUGCAACCCGCCUACAUGAAGUCGGAAUUGCUAGUAAUCGCAGAUCAGCAUGCUGCGGUGAAUACGUUCCCGGGCCUUGUACACACCGCCCGUCACGCCAUGGGAGUCGGUAACACCCGAAGCCUGUAGUCUAACCGCAAGGAGGACGCAGUCGAAGGUGGGAUUGAUGACUGGGGUG
rnacentral:rRNA from 1 species